rnacentral:lncRNA from 1 species
ACAAGAUGAGAAAAUACGCCUGAAAAAGAGAAACCUACAACACCCGAAAAUCGGCCUACAUCCCCAUAAAACCCUUUAUGCUUAAGUACACAGCUCCCCCAUCACCAUUAGGAAAUACAACAAAGAUUACCGUACUGUUACCAAAAAAAGGUGAAGAAACAAAGCAGAACCCACGAUACUGCCGACCUCACGGAUUUUUACCACACCACUGGCUCUCCCUGCCGGCCUUGCACACUGGGCUGCCGCUCUAGGACGCUCUAUCUAGCCUCCACACCGCCUGCUCGCCUCCUCCGCGGGGUUGCCAAGCCACGCCGCCAAGCCGCACGCUAGCUUCAUCACCACAUCGCACUGGCUUCCUCCUUCCUGGAAUCCUCUCCUAGCUUCACCUCCAACCGUUAGGGCUCCUUCCUUCUUCCUAGCUUCCUUCACCAAAUCGCACUGGCUCCCGGGCUCCUCCUUCCUAUCUUCACGAACUGCCGCUCGCUCCUCAGUCCUAGUUUCACCAAAAACUGGCUCCUGGAAUCCUGUCUGCUGCUGUCUUCCUAGGUUCUCUGAAUCCACUUCUGUGUAGCACCUGGUCAGCUGUUAAUUAGCGCCUAGUCCUCAGGGUUUAGAAAUUCAUCUUAGCUCAAAGUCCAAUGCAAAAAAUGUUAACUUGGUUAUCCUCGCUCUUGAAUUUAUCGUCCUUUAAGUUUUCCAGAAGAAACUAAACUACUGUAUGGAUUUAAGGCCUUUCAAAUUUUUAACUCUUCCGUCUACCUUAAUUUUUACAUCAGUCUUUUUAGUAGCUUUUUGCUGUGAUUUUAAAUUUACUUCCCUCUACAGCUUCGAGAUAUUCUUCUAAGUUGGUCUUGGUCUACUGUAGUUUAAAACCCUCUUCUCAGAUCUAACUUCUGCACCACCACAAAUUAAAGUUGAUGGGCUUUUUAAAUAAAUUUAACUAUUAAAAAUUAUUUUUCUUAGUUUUGCGUCUUGUACUUAUCCAAUUUUUUGGCUUCGGACUUUUCUAUCUUCCAAUUACUUGGACCUCUAUCUUGUAUGCUUGUCUCCAACAGCUUGUUUCUCAUUUUCUACCUCAAACACUCGAACAUCUUUUCAACCUUCUCUUUCUAGAUGUCUUCUGCCUCCUACCUUCUGGGCUUAGUUUUUUUCUGUCUUCUAAAAGCCGUAUUUUUUAUCUUCUAGUUUUCCUAUCUUCACUAAUCUUUUCUUCACCUUCCUGUACUUGUCUUCCGAGUUUUCCACUUCAAAUUUCUAAUCUUCUUUCUUCCUUUCUCACACUAUUUUUUAAGGACGUCUCCAUUUUCCCCUAAAAUAAGACCUUCUUAUUAAUUAUCAAAUCUACUCUCACGAAUUUAACUCAAAACUACAGCUCAGUAUUUUCGCUAAUUUAUAAUUCCUAGAGAAUAAGAGUAAUCCCUAUCUUAACAGAAAAACUUAUCUGCGGUCUCCUCAAGAAGCGUUUCCUGCCUCUCAGCCGUCUCUGCUCUCGCUGCCUCAAUGCCUGCCUCCCGACCCGCAGCGCGCGGCGUAUUUAUAGCCCAAGGACACCUCACACCCCCGUCAUCCAAUAACCCUCCGCCGCCUUUGUGAGGGAAGCAAAAAUAGUUCCUCGGAAGGAGUUAAAAAUAGAAUCUGGUUUAUAAGACUCUAGGUUUUUCCUUAACAGUUUAUAUAACUUGCUCGCAAACUCUGUACCCAGAUGUUUAAGUAGAUUUGAACUGAAAACUUGAGUAAAAACAAUGGAAACCACGUUUAAACAGACCAUCAAACAGCUGACAAAAACUCAGAAUUACUUGGAAAUGUUUUAGUAGCUUUUAAAAUACCUUCUGUGUUUCCUUGGAGUACAGUAGGUACAAUUUAGUGCUUUGGAGGCUAGGAAAGUAAAACUAAGUUUGCUGAUGGCCUUCAUUUCCAUUAUGUAACAGAGCUUCAGCCUCACAAAUAGAGCGGAGCCAUCUUAGAAGGACCGAAGGGUGGGAGUUUCGCCCCCAUGGGCCGCAGGUCCUGAGGAUUAUACCACACCGUCUUGAUUGCCAUUUUAUUCGUGAGAUCCGAUCAGCCCAGGUGAUCUAUGUAAGAAUUGGACUAAAUGUGGAAAUCCACUUCUGGAAAAUGUCUGACAGCCACUCUUUACCACUGUUGCCUGCAACAGAGCUGGUCACGCAUCGCAAGGGAUUAGGACCAAAAUUGAGGCAUCCAGGUGGGCUUAUCUUAAUUUGAAAAACUUCGUGUUUUUAUUGUUGAUUUAGUAGGUAGGAAACAUCAGCUAGGACACCCCUCCCCCCAUGCUUUUGGUUGUUGCCUUCUUGGGACAUUUUAAAUGAAGCCUGGAUUAACUUUUUCAAACGUGAACCGUCUCUAAGCUUCUAGGCCUGUCUCUCUAAAGUGUUCAAAACCUAAGUCCAAUCAAAACUAACUUUACAUGUCCUCUUUAAAUUAUCUGAAAAGGCCAGGUUUCACCUCCGAAGAUAUUGCGACCUUGAGCCGUCAGUGGGGGAGGGAACUUGUUCUCAAAUUAUUUACGAACCUUUACUGCUGGUCUGCUUUUCUAGGUUCUAAUGUUUUUACGUAUUUUGUAUUAUCUCUGGUUUGACUCCUUUUAAGACUUUUAAAAGUGGAGCUGGGAGGAAAAUAAAAUUUUUCUCCAAACCCAAAGCCUCCCUUUCUGCGGUUUUAUUUUUAAAGCACCCCGUGUUUCCCACCUGGGUGGAAAAGCGGAGGGAAGCGCCAGGGCGGAACUGGCUGCUGUGUCUCAAGGACUCUAGGAGAAGCCUCGGUCCCCAGGGCGGCAAAGGGGACCCGAGUGAGGCUUGAGGACUUAGAAAUGACAAUGGCGCCAGGGAGCGUCCCAGAUACCGGCUUCCAAGCGGCUAAAGCGGCUGAGGCGCGAAGAAGAAGCAGGUAAGAGGCCGAGCGGGGUGGGCGCGAGCCCCCGGGGCCGAGGGGGUGGGGGACGGGUUUCCCGGCCCAGCGCUGCCCGCGGCCGCAGAAAAGGGAGAAGCGG